rnacentral:lncRNA from 1 species
CCAAACCUAAGUCAUCUGAUUUCAGAGCCCAUACAGUUAAAUGCUCUAAAUGCAGCUUCCCGUGAUGAUGGUGACUAUGAGAGCCUGUCACAUAUGAUGUAGGACAGUGCUUCCCUGUAACAUGCACAAGAUUCCUGUGAUGAUGGUGACUAUGAGAGCCUGUCACAUAUGAUGUAGGACAGUGCUUCCCUGUAACAUGCACAAGAUUCCUGUGAUGAUGGUGACUAUGAGAGCCUGUCACAUAUGAUGUAGGACAGUGCUUCCCUGUAACGUGCAAGAUUCCCUUGAUGAUGGUGACUAUGAGAGUCUGUCACAUACGAUGUAGGACAGUGGUUCCCUGUAACAUGCACAAGAUUCCCGUGAUGACGGUGACUAUGAGAGCCUGUCAGAUACGAUGUAGGACAGUGCUUCCCUGUAACAUGCACAAUAUUCCCGUGAUGAUAGUGACUAUGAGACCCUGUCACCUACGAUGUAGAACAGUGCUUCCCUGUAACAUGUGCAAGAUUCCCGUGAUGAUGGUGACUAUGAGAGCCUGUCACAUAUGAUGUAGGACAGUGCUUCCCUGUAACAUGUGCAAGAUUCCCAUGAUGAUGGUGACUAUGAGAGCCUGUCACAUAGGAUGUAGGACAGUGCUUCCCUGUAACAUGCACAAGAUUCACCCAGGGAUCUCUUUAAAAUGCAAAACCAUAGACCACACUUUGACUGGCUUGGAUAAGGGGUCAGAGCAUCGAAAUGAGUGUGUAGGUGACUGUGCUAAAAUUCUCCUGCUCAUGUGGGCACUGGCUCAUGAUAUUAACAAAGCUUAGGACCUCUAGUCCUUUCUGGAAAGAAAAUACACAUACAUAGCAUGUGACUGUGCAUAUGGAAUAUCUGUUGUGUUCUGGACAUUGUGCUGGACAACAGAGAUAAGAAGUCAAAUAUCCCUUGUCUCUAUCUGAAAGGAGCUUCC